rnacentral:rRNA from 1 species
CAUACGGGCGGCAGCAGUGGGGAAUAUUGCACAAUGGGGGAAACCCUGAUGCAGCGACGCCGCGUGAGUGAAGAAGGAUUUCGGGAGGGAAAGCUAUAGCAGCAGGGAAGAAAAUGACGGUACGUGAGUAAGAAGCUCCGGCUAAAGACGUGCCAGCAGCCGCGGUAAUACGUAUGGAGCAAGCGUUAUCCGGAGUUACUGGGCGUACAGGGAGCGUAGGGGGCAUGCCAAGACUGAUGUGAAAUACCGGGGCCCCACCCCGGGGCUGCAUUGGAAACUGGCAGGCUGGAGUGCCGGAGUGUCAGGCGGUAUUCCUCUUGUAGCGGUGACAUGCGUAUCU